rnacentral:rRNA from 1 species
UUGAAAGGGAAACGAUUGAAGUCAGUCGUACCAGCGGGAAAUCAACCUUUCGAGUGGGGGGUUUUGGAGUUUUGAAGAGUGUCAAAACCUUUGAGAUUUCAAAAUAUUCGCUCUUUUGGUGUACUUUCUCGUGGGUAGGUUAACAUCGAUUUUGAUCAUCAUAAAAAGAUUGGAGGAAUGUAGCUUCGAUCUUGUAUUGAAGUGUUAUAGCCUUUGGUAAAUGUGAUGAUUAGGAUCGAGGAUUGCAACGAAUACCCUUUUGGGCUAUCCGCCUGAUCUCUGAUACGUGGCCUUGGUAUCGAAAGCGUGCUUAUGGUAUUGAGGCAUUACGGUCAAAAGGUUAGAACGGAUUACAUUCGUUAAGGAUGUUGACGUA